rnacentral:rRNA from 1 species
AUGGAUCAUCGCUACCCGUUGGCACACAAGCAACCAGCAAACUGUCACCAGCCACUAGUCUCGGCAGCCAGGCCUAAUUUCAAGAUACUGCCACCAAUGUGGAACACGAGACCCCGAGCGCAAAGCCACGGACCACACGUCGACGCCUUCAGCAUGGUAACGACGCCCGCAGGCUCCGCCGCCGUUGGCUCCGACGAUAGUCAAAGUCUGGCUUUUGCCGACAAUCUUCGUCUCUCCAGAAGAAAGAGCCUAGUUGCACCGCCAUGUCCACCUUCGACACCACAUGACCACCCCGGUAGGAGGACCGGAUCCAUCCAGGUCGUACAAUCCCGAGGCAUGCCACGAUGA